rnacentral:rRNA from 1 species
UAGUAGUCAUACGCUCGUCUCAAAGAUUAAGCCAUGCAUGUGUAAGUAUAAAUAGUUAACUUUGAAACUGCGAAUGGCUCAUUAUAUCAGUUAUAGUUUAUUUGAUGAAGAAUACUAAUUGGAUAACCGUAGUAAUUCUAGAGCUAAUACAUGUAUAAAGUCUUGUAGACUGCAUUUAUUAGAAUGAAAAUCAUAGGUUUCGGCCUAUUCGUGAGUAAUAAUAACUAAUCAUAUCGUAUGCUUAUGUAACGAUGUGUCUUUCAAGUUUCUGCCCUAUCAGCUUUCGAUGGUAGUGUAUUGGACUACCAUGGCAGUAACGGGUAACGAAGAA